GUGCAGAGCCACCCUGAGAUGGGGUCCUGCCCUCUCCCGCCAUCUUUUCACCCCCUCUCUAGCCCUGGUCUAGGUGAGCUCCUGCCUGGUCCUGCCUCCUGGGUAAUGUAUCAGCCUCGCCCACUGUCUGCGGCUGCCUCUCUGGGCCCCUGGGACAGACCCCACUGUGUCCAGUUCAGGGCUGACCCUGCAGGAAUGAACUGGGGUCUGGUCUUGUGAUUCCAGAAAGCCAGGCUGCUGACGUCCCCAUCCACCAGCCCAGCCUGUGUCUUGCAGCCAUUGUAUUAGUCACAGGCUCGUGCCCUAUAGUCAGACCUCAUGCUUUCUUUUGGAGUUCGGGGUGUUGGUUGGAAAUAGUGGGGGCUAUAGGAGGAAGGAGGAUGGUUACACGGAAGGGCAUGAGAAGCUGGGGACCUGCAGGUCUCAGUCCCACAUUCUUUUUUUUUUUUUUAAGAUGGAGUCUCGCUCUGUCACCAGGCUGGAGUGCAGUGGCACAAUCUCAGCUCACUGCAACCUCGACCUCCUGGGUUCAAGCGAUUCUCCUGGCUCAGCCCCCCGCCAUUCAUCCAUCCAUCUAUUCAUCUAUCCAUCCAUUCCAUCCAAUCAUCCAUUCAUCUAUCCAUUCAUUCUGUUACCGGAUGGUGCUGUGCAGUUACAGGCUCCUGGUGUCCUGAACAGAGAAUUUGAUGUGGCACACACAAAUAGCAAAGCAAGCAGCAAAAGUUUAUUAAGCACAGUAGCACUCUGAGAGAGGGGAGAGUGGGCUGACCUCUGCAAGAUGAGAUCAGCAUUAGUUUGGUAUACUUUGGGUCUUUUUAUAUGUGUUUUUUUUUUUCUUUUCUUCCCAAGGCUGCCUAAUCUUUAGCCAACAUCUGCCUUUUGAUUAAUAGGUUGGUUGCUUAGUUACUUUGGCCCUUGUGCACUUGCUCGUUGCCUCUAUCCCAAAAUUUUAAGUACAUAAAUGAUAUGCAGUCCAUAUGCAUGAGAUUUAAUGAGC
rnacentral:lncRNA from 1 species